UUGAACUUCGUAACUUGUGUAGGUUUAACUUGACCUAAUUUACUUAUUUUUAUACUAUACCAACUUAUAUCUUCAAAUUUUAGAUGCAUAUACUGUCAGUCAUUCUAAAAAGUUGACUUAGCGCUCAGUCACUUUCCAUCCAACAGACCCAUCAUGUUGUCAAAAGCCUAAAACUCAUGUGUGAAGCUCACAUAUUGUGGAAUACAAAUGUGCGGGGACAAGGUAUUUCCCCAUUACUGCUACCACAACAACCACACCACGUCUAAUGCCUUACUAAUACUAAAUUCAGCACCAUUCACCCAUAUGAUAAAGGAAAUUUACAUCAACCUCAGGAGUAAACCUGUUGGUUGCUGUGAUUUCCAUUUUUGCGGUUUUUUGUCAUGAAAACUUCAGUAUGCUUGUUAGUAUAGAGCGCAUAAAAGAUCCUAAUAAGCCAAUGCUGACCUUUGUUCAUGACGGAAGAGGGAC